UACGUAGGUGGCAAGCGUUGUUCGGAUUUACUGGGCGUAAAGGGCGCGUAGGCGGCCAGCACAAGUCAGUUGUGAAAUCUCCGAGCUUAACUCGGAAAGGUCAACUGAUACUGUGCGGCUAGAGUGCGGAAGGGGCAACUGGAAUUCUUGGUGUAGCGGUGAAAUGCGUAGAUAUCAAGAGGAACACCUGCGGCGAAGGCGGGUUGCUGGGCCGACACUGACGCUGAGACGCGAAAGCGUGGGGAGCAAACAGG
rnacentral:rRNA from 1 species